rnacentral:lncRNA from 1 species
ACACACGGCCAAAAGCAAAAAACCUUCCUUUAUCAGAUGCUGGAAUCAUCUUUGACACAUAAAGCAUCAGAGGUCCUUCAGGAUCACAGUUUCGGAUGGCAUUUGCAUAUUGAUCGUCAAGGGGGCCCUCAUACAAAUUCUCAACACGGUACCUCUGGGCAGUUGAUGGUGAGGGAAGAUGAAAGAUCAUCAUUUCAAGUAGGGCAGUACUUGCAGGCAACCAGGUCUGCAUAACACGUUUCAUCAAUGGCUUACCCAUCAGGUCCUUCUCUUCAGACUUCAUGGUGACCCCUAGCUUUGUAAGCAUAGGCCACAACUUAUCCUUCUGAUCAUUCAUACAAGUGUUGAUGAUCUGCUUGAUAGGCUCAUAACAGAACUGAACAAACCCACGCUUGCAAGAAGCUGAACCAGUAUUCUUGGUGGUCCAUUUUUUU